rnacentral:rRNA from 1 species
AGUGGACGCUGGCGGCAGGCCUAAUACAUGCAAGUCGAACGGCAGCACAGUGGAGCUUGCUCCAUGGGUGGCGAGUGGCGGACGGGUGAGGAAUACAUGGGAAUCUGCCCAGUCGUGGGGGAUAACGUAGGGAAACUUACGCUAAUACCGCAUGCGCCCUUCGGGGGAAAGCCGGGGACCUUCGGGCCUGGCGCGAUUGGAUGAGCCCAUGUUCGAUUAGCUAGUUGGCGGGGUAAAGGCCCACCAAGGCGACGAUCGAUAGCUGGUCUGAGAGGAUGAUCAGCCACACUGGGACUGAGACACGGCCCAGACUCCUACGGGAGGUAGCAGUAGGGAAUAUUGGACAAUGGGCGCAAGCCUGAUCCAGCCAUGCCGCGUGAGUGAAGAAGGCCCUCGGGUUGUAAAGCUCUUUUGUCCGGGAAGAAAAGCAUCGGGCUAAUACCUCGGUGUUCUGACGGUACCGGAAGAAUAAGCACCGGCUAACUUCGUG